UGGGGUGUCGCCAAGUGGUAAGGCAGCGGGAUUUGAUCCCGCCACUCGGAGGUUCGAGUCCUUCCAUCCCAG
rnacentral:tRNA from 1 species